rnacentral:rRNA from 1 species
AGAGCGAACGCUGGCGGCAGGCCUAACACAUGCAAGUCGAGCGCUCCGCAAGGGGAGCGGCAGACGGGAGAGUAACACGUGGGAACGUACCCUUCAGUUCGGAACAACCCAGGGAAACUUGGGCUAAUACCGAAUACGUCCGUAAGGAGAAAGAUUUAUCGCUGAAGGAUCGGCCCGCGUCUGAUUAGCUUGUUGGUGAGGUAACGGCUCACCAAGGCGACGAUCAGUAGCUGGUCUGAGAGGAUGAUCAGCCUCACUGGGACUGAGACACGGCCCAGACUCCUACGGGAGGCAGCAGUGGGGAAUAUUGGACAAUGGGCGCAAGCCUGAUCCAGCCAUGCCGCGUGGGUGAUGAAGGCCCUAGGGUUGUAAAGCCCUUUCGGCGGGGAAGAUAAUGACGGUACCCGCAGAAGAAGCCCGGCUAACUUCGCGCUAGCAGCCGC